rnacentral:rRNA from 1 species
AUUGAACGCUGGCGGCAUGCCUUACACAUGCAAGUCGAACGGUAACAGGUCUUCGGAUGCUGACGAGUGGCGAACGGGUGAGUAAUACAUCGGAACGUGCCCAGACGUGGGGGAUAACGAGGCGAAAGCUUUGCUAAUACCGCAUACGAUCUAAGGAUGAAAGCAGGGGACCGCAAGGCCUUGUGCGUUUGGAGCGGCCGAUGGCAGAUUAGGUAGUUGGUGGGAUAAAAGCUUACCAAGCCGACGAUCUGUAGCUGGUCUGAGAGGACGACCAGCCACACUGGGACUGAGACACGGCCCAGACUCCUACGGGAGGCAGCAGUGGGGAAUUUUGGACAAUGGGCGAAAGCCUGAUCCAGCAAUGCCGCGUGCAGGAUGAAGGCCUUCGGGUUGUAAACUGCUUUUGUACGGAAAGAAAAGGCUCUGGCUAAUACCUGGGGCACAUGACGGUACCGUAAGAAUAAGCACCGGCUAACUACGUG